rnacentral:rRNA from 1 species
CCUACGGGUGGCAGCAGUGGGGAAUAUUGCGCAAUGGGCGAAAGCCUGACGCAGCGACGCCGCGUGAGGGAUGAAGGUCUUCGGAUCGUAAACCUCUGUCAGCAGGGAAGAACGGUCACUGUGCUAAUCAGCAGUGAAUUGACGGUACCUGCAAAGGAAGCACCGGCUAACUCCGUGCCAGCAGCCGCGGUAAUACGGAGGGUGCGAGCGUUAAUCGGAAUUACUGGGCGGAAAGCGCUCGUAGGCGGUAUGUCAAGUCAAGGGUGAAAUCCCCGCGCUCAACGUGGGAACUGCCUUUGAAACUGGCAAACUGGAGUGUGUGAGAGGAUAGUGGAAUUCCAGGUGUAGGAGUGAAAUGCGUAGAUAUCUGGAGGAACAUCAGUGGCGAAGGCGACUAUCUGGCACAUAACUGACGCUGAGGAGCGAAAGCGUGGGUAGCAAACAGGAUUAGAUACCCGGGUAGUC